UGCAGUCGAGCGGAGAAUGCGGAUAUGUUUACAUAGAAGUUUCUUAGCGGCGGACGGGUGAGUAACACGUGGGUAACCUGCCUCAAAGUGGGGGAUAGCCUUCCGAAAGGAAGAUUAAUACCGCAUAAGCCUACAGUGCCGCAUGGUACAGCAGGAAAAGGAGCAAUCCGCUUUGAGAUGGACCCGCGGCGCAUUAGCUAGUUGGUGAGGUAACGGCUCACCAAGGCGACGAUGCGUAGCCGACCUGAGAGGGUGAUCGGCCACAUUGGAACUGAGACACGGUCCAGACUCCUACGGGAGGCAGCAGUGGGGAAUAUUGCACAAUGGGCGAAAGCCUGAUGCAGCAACGCCGCGUGAGUGAUGAAGGCCUUCGGGUCGUAAAGCUCUUUGAUCAGGGAUGAUAAUGACAGUACCUGAAAAACAAGCCACGGCUAACUACGUGCCAGCAGCCGCGGUAAUACGUAGGUGGCGAGCGUUGUCCGGAAUUACUGGGCGUAAAGGAUGCGUAGGUGGAUAUUUAAGUGGGAUGUGAAAUCCCCGGGCUCAACCCGGGAACUGCAUUCCAAACUGGGUAUCUAGAGUGCAGGAGAGGAAAGCGGAAUUCCUAGUGUAGCGGUGAAAUGCGUAGAUAUUAGGAGGAACACCAGUGGCGAAGGCGGCUUUCUGGACUGUAACUGACACUGAGGCAUGAAAGCGUGGGUAGCAAACAGGAUUAGAUACCCUGGUAGUCCACGCCGUAACGAUGGGUACUAGGUGUAGGAGGUAUCGACCCCUUCUGUGCCGUCGUUAACACAAUAAGUACCCCGCCUGGGGAGUACGGUCGCAAGACUAAAACUCAAAUGAAAUUGACG
rnacentral:rRNA from 1 species